AAAUUUAAUAGAAAAUUCUACUUAACAUCAAUAGCAAGACCAAUACUUCCGAUUUGAAAUUUGAAUUCUUUAUCAUUAUUUUUUAUGAGAUUUUCAUUUUCAGCCGUUCAUUUUUAGACUACUCGUUUAAUUGGUAAAUGACGCCGAAAAAUUAUGAAAUUUAGUUUCCAAGUACUUUCAAUAGUGUAGAUCAAGUCUAACGGAGCCGAUCGUCAAUUUAGAAGCCGCGUCAUUAAAAACAACUUGGUAGCAUGGAGACCUCCGUGCUACCGAUAGUAUACCAGCCUAGCUCUAUAUAUAUAUAUAUAUAUAUAUAUAUAGAGAGAGAUGAGCUGAAAUGCUAUCAAUAGCAAGCGGGCUCUGUUGCCACCUAUUUGUUUUCGAUGAUGAAGCCUUCAAAUCGACGAUCAGUAUUAUUGAACAUAAUCUAUACCACUUGAAGUAUCUAGAAACCAAAUUUCAAAUCUUUUCGACAUCAUUGACCUAAUGAUCAAAGAGUUUCAAAUUUUGUAAUUUUAAUGNN
rnacentral:lncRNA from 1 species